rnacentral:tRNA from 1 species
GGGGGUGAUAAGACCUGCUAACUCUUUUUCCUGGAAAUAAUCACCAGCCCCCUCUAC